GACGAACCGAGCGAACGUUGUUCGGAAUCACUGGGCUUAAAGGGCGCGUAGGCGGGCUGCCGCGUCCGGGGUGAAAUCCUCCCGCUCAACGGGAGAACGGCCUCGGAUACGGGCGGCCUCGAGGGAGGUAGGGGCAUGCGGAACUACGGGUGGAGCGGUGAAAUGCGUUGAUAUCCGUGGGAACUCCGGUGGCGAAGGCGGCGUGCUGGACCUCAUCUGUCGCUGAGGCGCGAAAGCCAGGGGAGCGAACGGG
rnacentral:rRNA from 1 species